GCCAGUUUUUGAGACCUUAAAAGAGACUCCCAUGUAAAAGAGCUUUGUUCUUCGGCUAACUAGAGGUCUUGCGUUGGUGUUUGGAUCAUCAGAAAGUAAAGGAAAAUACCAGCAGGCCCCAAAGAAAGGAAGAUUCUUUGAAUAUGAAUAAGCCUUUUGAGAGAUAAAACGAGACACCCAGGUGGAAAUCUUUGAGAAUUUGAGGCUUUAAAAAGCAUAAUUGAGAUAUACAGUAGGUGGG
rnacentral:misc_RNA from 1 species